rnacentral:rRNA from 1 species
UUAGUACCGAAGUCUGAGAUGGAAGAUGGCGAGAAAAGCUGGUGUAUUUCUGAGGUGCCCGUACCGCAAACCGACACAGGUAGGUAGGAAGAAGAUUCUAAGGCCAACGGGAGAAGGGUUGUUAAGGAACUCGGCAAAUUGACCCCGUAACUUCGGGAGAAGGGGUGCUCCAGAGAUGGAGCCGCAGAGAAUCGGCCCAAGCAACUGUUUACCAAAAACACAGGUUUGUGCUAAAUCGAAAGAUGACGUAUACGAGCUGACGCCUGCCCGGUGCUGGAAGGUUAAGAGGAGAUGUGCAAGCAUUGAAUCGAAGCCCCAGUGAACGGCGGCCGUAACAAUAACGGUCCUAAGGUAGCGAAAUUCCUUGUCAGGUAAGUUCUGACCCGCAUGAAAGGCGUAAUGAUUUGGGCACUGUCUCAACAGCCCGCCCGGCGAAAUUGUAGUACCGGUGAAGAUGCCGGUUACCCGCGACAAGACGGAAAGACCCCAUGGAGCUUUACUGUAGCCUAAUAUUGGGUUUCGAUGUUGCAUGCACAGGAUAGAUGGGACUCUAGGAAACCAAGGCUUUGGCUUUGGCGGAGAGGCCGUUGGGAUACCAUCCUUGCGAUAUUGGAAUUCUAACCUGCGGCUCUGAAUCGAGUCGGGGGACAUUGUUAGGUGGGCAGUUUGACUGGGGCGGUCGCCUCCUAAAGAGUAACGGAGGCGUUCAAAGGUUCGCUCAGCUUGAACGGAAAUCAAGCAAAAGAGUGCAAACGCAGAAGCGAGCCUAACUGCGAGACUGACGGGUCGAGCAGUAACGAAAGUUGGAGUUAGUGAUCCGGUGGUAUGUGAGUGGAAAUGCCAUCGUUCAACGGAUAAAAGUUACCCUGGGGAUAUCAGGCUGAUCUCCCCCAAGAGUCCACAUCGACGGGGAGGUUUGGCACCUCGAUGUCGGCUCAUCGCAUCCUGGGGCUGUAUUCGGUCCCAAGGGUUUGGCUGUUCGCCAAUUAAAGCGGUACGCGAGCUGGGUUCAGAACGUCGUGAGACAGUUCGGUCCCUAUCUGUCGUGGGCGCAGGAUAUUUGAUGGGAGCUGUCCCUAGUACGAGAGGACCGGGACGGACGUACCUCUGGCGCACCAGUUGUUCCGCCAGGAGCAUAGCUGGGCAACUACGUACGGAUCGGAUAAACGCUGAAAGCAUCUAAGCGUGAAGCCGACCCAAAGAUAAGAUAUCCCACUGAUUGAAUCAGGUAAGAUCCCUUGUAGACUACGAGGUUGAUAGGCACGAUGUGUAAGUGGAGCGAUCCAUUCAGCAAGUGUGUACUAAUAGAUCGAGGGCUUGACC